rnacentral:lncRNA from 1 species
CACCCCCCCCACACACACCUUAUACACCCCAGACAUAACACACACCCCACACCCCAGACAUACACAUACCCCUGACACACACCACACCCCACCCCAGAUACCACACACCCCACACCCCGACAUACCCCUGACACAGCUCACCCCAGAUACACACCCUACCCCAGAUACACACCAUACCCCAGACACACAACACCCCCCCAACACACACCAUCCCAGUCACAUGCCACACAUCCCAGACACACACCCCACACGCCACAUCCCACACACACACGCCCGACACACCGCACCCCAGACACACACCACACCCACACACAUGCCACACCCCACACAUACACCCCACCCCACACACACAUCACACCCCUCACAACCACACCCCACACACACACCACACCCCACAAACUACAUAGACUAUGCUAGCCACAUACCACACACCAGACACACACACCACACAUGAGCAUGACGUAUACCGCACACAUGCCAUGCACUGUACCCCCCCACACACAUCCCAGACACACAUACCACACACACUACACAGACCACACAGCAGACAUACCACACACCAGCACCACACCCCCUCACACCACAUGCCACACACACCACAUGCCAGCAUCACACACACACCAUACCUCCUUCAUACACACCACACACACAAACCAGACACACACCUACAUACCACACACCACACACCAGCCACACACCACAAACACACCACACACACCACACGCCACGCAUAUAUCAGAUACACCACAUACGUACAGAUACACCACAAUAUACACCACACGACACAUGUACCACAACACACACACACGACAUAACACGCACACACAUCACAAACACAAUCAUGUCCACCACACAACACACACACCAUGUGCAUGCACACAAUAAAUGCACAGCACAAAACAUCACAUACACCAAAUCACACACACCACACACACAUCAAACACCAUACACACAGACCAUGCAUACUCACUGCACAUGUGCACACAUACCAACACACACCACACACACACACUGUACACACACCUAAAACCACCCCCAUACACACCAUACCAAACACAACCACUCACACAUGCACCACACACAGCACAGCAUACAACACACAUCACACACACACCAAUCAUACCACUGUUACACACACACCACCACACAUACUGCACACACCAAAGCACAUACACACCACAUAGACACAUGCACGCUACCCACACCACACCAAUCACAUCCACACAUACACAACCAUACACACACACACACACAUUGUUGACUUAGGAUCGUUUCAACUCACAGUGGGUUUAUUGGGAUGCAGCCCCGUGGCAAGUGGAGCAGCAUGUGUAUUGACAAGGGGAGGAAAGCCGUCUGGA